rnacentral:lncRNA from 1 species
AUGAUACUUGUCUUCAAGCCUUUUAAAAAAGUAUAUAGGUGUGGAUAUCAUUCAGAUGAGAAGGUUGGCAUGUGGAGCCACUGUUCCUAUGAGAAAAGACAUUUCAUAGACCCAUACCUUAGAGUUGGGAGUGACUUCAAGUUCUGUUGCUUUCAUAUAUAAGUGAAACUACCUCACCAAAUCUUAAAGGUAAUUGAUACCACACAGUGUUC